UACAGAGGGGGCAAGCGUUGUUCGGAAUUACUGGGCGUAAAGGGCGCGUAGGCGGCCCGCUAAGUCGAACGUGAAAUCCCCGGGCUCAACCCGGGAACUGCGUCCGAUACUGGUGGGCUUGAAUCCGGGAGAGGGAUGCGGAAUUCCAGGUGUAGCGGUGAAAUGCGUAGAUAUCUGGAGGAACACCGGUGGCGAAGGCGGCAUCCUGGACCGGUACUGACGCUGAGGCACGAAAGCGUGGGGGAGCAAACAGG
rnacentral:rRNA from 1 species